GGCCCAGACUCCUACGGGAGGCAGCAGUGAGGAAUAUUGGUCAAUGGGCGAGAGCCUGAACCAGCCAAGUCGCGUGAGGGAAGACGGUCCUAUGGAUUGUAAACCUCUUUUGUCGGGGAGCAAAAAGGCCUCGUGAGGCCACAAGUGAGAGUACCCGAAGAAAAAGCAUCGGCUAACUCCGUGCCAGCAGCCGCGGUAAUACGGAGGACGCGAGCGUUAUCCGGAUUUAUUGGGUUUAGAGGGUGCGUAGGCGGGAUGCCAAGUCAGCGGUAAAAAUGCGGUGCUCAACGCCGUCGAGCCGUUGAAACUGGCGUUCUUGAGUGGGCGAGAAGUAUGCGGAAUGCGUGGUGUAGCGGUGAAAUGCAUAGAUAUCACGCAGAACUCCGAUUGCGAAGGCAGCAUACCGGCGCCCUACUGACGCUGAGGCACGAAAGCGUGGGUAUCGAACAGGAUUAGAUACCCCUGUA
rnacentral:rRNA from 1 species